rnacentral:rRNA from 1 species
UACGUAGGGAGCAAGCGUUAUCCGGAUUUACUGGGUGUAAAGGGAGCGCAGGCGGUAUGGCAAGUCAGAUGUGAAAACCCAGGGCCCAACCCUGGGACUGCAUUUGAAACUGCCAUACUGGAGUGCCGGAGAGGUAAGUGGAAUUCCUAGUGUAGCGGUGAAAUGCGUAGAUAUUAGGAGGAACACCAGUGGCGAAGGCGGCCUGCUGGGCUUUUACUGACGCUGAGGCUCGAAAGUGUGGGGAGCAAACAGG